CCUGUCUCUCAAAUGCUAACUGAAGAAAUUAAUGUAAAAAAGGAAGGAAAAAAAAUCCAACAGAACAAGUGAAAAACCAAAUACAUAUUUGUGCGCAUACACAGUCCUGUUUAUAAAGUUCUAAAAUGGCCCUAAAGGAUAAAUGCAAGCCAUCCACGUUAAAAUAUGAAGAUGCCAAUUCAAAAAUUAUGACACUGAGAAAAUCACCUUCCUGAAAUAGCUCCUUAUUUUUCCAUGCAGGCAGCUUUUCAGUUAGAGCUUUGCCUUCCCUGGGCUGACAUUUAUACUGUGCCCCCAAGGUCAUCAGAUGGGGGCUCUUUGACUGUAGUGGAGCAGAAAACCAAAGCAGAAGAGGCACAUAUAACCGCUGUAUUUACUUUAGCAGUACAAUCUCCUAUCCUGUUAUAUGUCAAAGUGAAUAAUGGUAGAAAAUCA